GGUCAAGGAGCCAAAACAGUUCCGCAGGACUGUCUCAGCCUGCUAGAGAUACAAUGGACAGAGCAGUUGUUUGCAGGGACUGACAUGGUGAGGACCUGAGCUAAAGGUGAAGGUGGUGCUGGAGCCCCUGGAAAGUGUCCCAGGGAAACAUACUGAGCAAUUGGAGGGGAUGCAAGCACGUGAUUGCCAUCUACAGGAUCCCUGGGCUGGGACCUGGAGUAGUAGGAGGGCCUGGGUCUCCCCCCUCCUGAACACUUGCCACUGGGGAAGUGGCAUGAUUAUUAGACUGAGACACUAACCCCAGGAAAUGGGGAACACGUAUGGUGACACAGCCAGAGGGCUGAGUCACAAAGAGAGCGCUGCAGUUCCUGAGGCUGCGGGAGAGACUGCAGGCAGAUGCAAUGAUGGUUUUCAAGCCAUUAUGGCCUCAAAUUAAUCCCUAGUGUGACCAGGAGGUGGCGGUGAGUGAUGAACAUUCUAUGUUAAAUGCAAAACCAGGGUGAGAUUAUCUGUUAUUUAUGGACUUCCCUAUGGCAUUCGCUGCGGUGUUACCUGAGCACCCCACAACAUUAAUGGACUUAUCCUCCCCACCCAUGGGAGAGAUGCUUGGUACAACUUUCUGCUGUGGAAUCAUACAGCAAUAACCAUGGGAGCUUUGAAGGUGAAACCUCUGGCAGCAAGGGGAGGUUCCCAGAAGUGGGUGUGACCUGGCCACAGGAGCAGCUGUGCAGAAAAGGAAGGCCUGUCCCUCCCCAGCCUGGAUGGGACUAGCAACUGGAGCCCAGUGCAUGGUAGAAGCCCCUAGCUAGUGCACCCCCAGCCCUGCCCCUCUCUGACUCCAGGCCCAGUAUUAAGAGGUUAAAGGGUCUUGGGCUGACUUGGGGGUGGGGAGCCAUGGUGUCCCCUGGACUACUGGGCCCUAGACAGUCAACCACCUAAAACUAAUGAUCACCCCCAUACCAUGCCACCCUCACUUCUGCGCUGCUGCUGGCAACAGUACAGCUUUCAGAGCUGGGGUUCAAGGCCGGCAGCCACUGCUCUCCAGCCAUCCAGCUCUGAAGGCAGCACCACUGCCAGCAGCACCACUGAAGUGAGGGUGGCAACACCAUGACCCUGCACGACUUUCUUUUGGAUUGGGACCCUACAGUUACAACACCAUGAAAUUUCAGAUUUAAGUAUCUAAAAUCAUGAAAUUUACCAUUUUUUAAAAUCCUAUGACUGUAAAUUGACCAAAAUGGGCCAUGAAUUUGGUAAGACCCUAAUAAUCAAAUUAAAGUGUUUUCCAACUCCUAAUUAAACUAAUAGCAAAUCUAUUUGAAAACAUUAAAGAGCUGCUGAUGCCUUAAAAAAAAAAUCUAUUUAGAGGCAAUUCUCAACAGUAACCCACAGUUACCACAAGAUUGUUCCAGCUAUUACAUUUCCUAUUUAAAAAAAAUAGGGUUACUUCAGAUGUAGUAAUAUGCUCACCUGGUUUGCUGUAAUGUAUAUUGCUUGCUGUCUAUCAUAGUUUGUUCCAUCUGAAUAUGUGGAAGGUGAUAUCUCUUGGUUCUGUAUAACAAUACCAGAUAUACAGCAGUUUUGAUGCCAAAUGAUGUUUGGCACUCCAAUAUUGAUGCAUUCAGACGGCAGCAUUAAUGUAAAUAUUUGAUUUUAAGAAGUUCUCUUUUCUAAUCAGUUUGAGCACUGUUAAUUCAAAUCAGCAGUACAUGGCAAGUGGAGUUUUAGAGCAGCUAAAGAUGGCUGGAGAACCCUAAUUUUUGUUGUAGCAACCAUACAGAAAGCUUAUUCCAUAGUUUUGUUUUAGCUUCUAAUCUUUGUAUUCAUUUUCAUAAAUUUAUUCCUAUAGA